CAGUCGCCGCGGUAAUACGUAGGGUGCGAGCGUUAAUCGGAAUUACUGGGCGUAAAGCGUGCGCAGGCGGUUUUGUAAGACAGGCGUGAAAUCCCCGGGCUCAACCUGGGAAUGGCGCUUGUGACUGCAAAGCUAGAGUGCGGCAGAGGGGGAUGGAAUUCCGCGUGUAGCAGUGAAAUGCGUAGAUAUGCGGAGGAACACCGAUGGCGAAGGCAAUCCCCUGGGCCUGCACUGACGCUCAUGCACGAAAGCGUGGGGAGCAAACAGGAUUAGAGACCCGGGUAGUCCCUGUCUCUUAUAC
rnacentral:rRNA from 1 species